rnacentral:rRNA from 1 species
UCAGGCCUAACACAUGCAAGUCGAGCGAUGAAGCACCUUCGGGUGUGGAUUAGCGGCGAACGGGUGAGGAACACGUGAGGAAUCUGCCUUCCACUCUGGGAUAACUCCGGGAAACCGGGGCUAAUACCGGAUACUUUCAACUGGCGGCAUCGCCGGUUGAAGAAAGUUUUUCGGUGGAAGAUGACCUCGCGGCCUAUCAGCUUGUUGGUGAGGUAAUGGCUCACCAAGGCGACGACGGGUAGCCGGCCUGAGAGGGCGACCGGCCACACUGGGACUGAGACACGGCCCAGACUCCUACGGGAGGCAGCAGUGGGGAAUAUUGGGCAAUGGAGGAAACUCUGACCCAGCGACGCCGCGUGAGGGAUGAAAGGCUUCGGGUUGUAAACCUCUUUCAGCAGGGAUAAGCGAAAGGAA